UAGCAGUGAGGAAUAUUGGUCAAUAGCCUAACGGCUGAACCAGCGAUUUGAAGGAAUGAAUAUCAACAUUUUAUUAUUUUGAAUAAAGUUCUGGCUAGAAUAAUGAUAAUGACAAUUUUCUAUCUAAAUGUCUUGACUAAGUCACGUGCCAGCAGUCGCGGUAAUACGUGAGAGACGAGCGUUAUUCAUCUUUAAUUGGUUUAAAGGGUACCUAGACGGUAAUUCUUGCCUUAGAAUGGGAACAGAAUUACUAGAGUUUUAUGUGAAAAGCUUAGAAUUGGUGGUGUAGAGAUAAUAUACAAAAAUACCAUUAGGACUGGUAAAGGCGAUGGCUAACUUUUAUGCAAAAACUG
rnacentral:rRNA from 1 species